UGCCAGCCGCCGCGGUAACACGGGGGGCGCAAGCGUUAUUCGGAAUUAUUGGGCGUAAAGAGAUCGUAGGUGGUUUAUUAAGUCGGAUCUGAAAGCCCGGGGCUCAACCCCGGAAGUGCAUUGGAAACUGGCGAACUUGAGUACGGGAGAGGAAAGUGGAAUUCCGAGUGUAGGGGUGAAAUCCGUAGAUAUUCGGAGGAACACCAGUGGCGAAGGCGGCUUUCUGGACCGAUACUGACGCUGAGACGCGAAAGCGUGGGGAGCAAACAGGAUUAGAUA
rnacentral:rRNA from 1 species